rnacentral:rRNA from 1 species
GAUGAACGCUGGCGGCGUGCCUAAUACAUGCAAGUCGAACGCUGGAGAUCUAGCUUGCUAGAUCGAAGGAGUGGCGAACGGGUGAGUAAUACAUAAGCAACCUACCCACGAAGACUGGGAUAAUCUCUGGAAACGGGGACUAAUACCGGAUAGGUAAUCGGAAGGCAUCUUCUGGUUAUUAAAGGUUAAAAACACUGGUGGAUGGGCUUAUGGCGCAUUAGUUAGUUGGUGAGGUAACGGCCCACCAAGACGAUGAUGCGUAGCCGGCCUGAGAGGGUGAACGGCCACAUUGGGACUGAGACACGGCCCAGACUCCUACGGGAGGCAGCAGUAGGGAAUUUUCGGCAAUGGGGGCAACCCUGACCGAGCAACGCCGCGUGAGUGAAGACGGCCUUCGGGUNGUAAAGCUCUGUUGUAAGGGAAGAACGGUAGAUAGAGAANAUCUAAGNGA